GAAAAGGAGAAAAUAAAAGAAAAAGAAAAUAAAAUGGAACUCGAAACAGAAAUCAGUGUUUCAUUCCCUUCUUCAUUUUCUUCCCAAAACAACCCAACAAUGGGAUUUUAAUUCAACAUACAAUUGUUAUUCACAAACAAACUCUUCUGCAAUUAAAAACUUCAAUCCAAAUCAAACCCACCUAAAAAUCUAAUUUUCAUCAAACCAAACCCACCCAAAUUUCAAUUUUCUUCAUCAAAUCAACGCACCCAAUUCAUGAAAUUUAUCCCCCCAACUAUGCCUAUAUAUAUACCCAUUAUUGCCUCCAUCAAUUCACCACCACCACAAUUCCACUGCUUCGCCGGUCAACUCCACCAAAAACACCCCCAAACCUCUGUAUUUCGCAACUCAUCUCUCUCUCCUCUUGUCAGCCACCACCACCGUCCGCCCUUAGUCGCUGCAACACUCACCCACCAGCGCGCCUCCAGCGCACCACCUCACCAUCCCCUUCUUUCUCUCGCCUCAACUCUUCUUCUCUCUCUCGCGCCCCAACUCUCUCAUUCUCGUGUUUCCCUCUCUGAUCUCUUCCUUGCGCCGACUCGCCACCCCAGAACCGCCGGACUCUGCACUGCCUCGCCACCCUGCUGUCGGAGCUCUAGUCCACCGCCUCACUUUCCUUCCUUCAUCCCCUGUUCUUUUGUCUACUCAUAAGUUAAGGAGAGAUUAAACGGAAAGGAUAUUGCAGCCUCCCCCGGCUUUCAAGGUUAUUAAGCAGGAAUCGAGGUACUGAUGAAGAUGACGGGAUGGCGUAGAAGUGAGGAUGGUCAACUAAUUUACAUUAUGAAAAACUAUAUUUGUUAUGUAAUCUAAAUUUAUGAUCACUAGAACGCGAACUUAGUUUAA